rnacentral:lncRNA from 1 species
CUUUCAGAAGUGACUCUCCAGGGGAGCUAAAAUCCAUGUAUUUGGGCACACACUUGAACAAUAUUGCUAGAGAAAUUUAAGCAAGAGCACAAAGUUUUGCCAGGACGAUUAAAUAUCAUUGAUGCUUCUGGUCUACAAUUAGUCAGAGAAGAGAUUAAAAAAAUGAUGAGUAUUCAAGAAGGAAAGUGUUUGCUUUAACAUAUGAAGAAAAGGAGCUUCAGAGUGGUGAUUAACCCCAGAAUUGUGUGGAACGGAUAUGGAAACAAGACCACAGGAGCAUCGAGAACUGAGCAGAACUGAAGGUGACAUGAAAAUCAGCUGCAAGAUUCACCUCAGGGUGAUAAUGGGCUGCAGGUGGCUGCAGGAAUCCCGGGACAUU